CUUUACCAACCAAGCCACAUUCCCAGUGCUGCGACCUCUCUUCUCAUCUGUGGGACGGGUCACCGGGAUAGAACAUUCACGAGAUAGGCAGAAAAAUCAGGGAAGCUUUCACUUUCACUUCUUGUGGGUACCUGGGAGCCCUGGAUCAAGGGAAGAGCUGAAUGGAACAACAUUGUAGCCUUUAUCACCAGACAGGAAAACCAAGUCCUCACAGACCCAGGCCAGGGAAGCAGGAGCUGGUGCAUCCCGCUGGCUAUCACAUCAGUGGCUGAGAGGGGAAACCCUUGGUUGGUUUCCAUGCAGGAAUAAAGCAGAGCUGUGUUACUAAGAAUCAACUGUGUUACUAAGAAUCAACUGUGUUACUAAGAAUCAACUGCCUGCUCCAGGCCAGGCCUGGAACAGUCCAUGCUUUGGCAAUGUGUACAGCAGCCCACAGCUCUUCUCUAUAGGCUGCCUCGUCCUGGCCUGGCAAUGAGAGUGAGGCUAGAAGCAGUCCCAGACCCAGAUCGUUUCUGGUGGGCCACAGGGCUUCCCACAGCAAUCCUAUCAGGAAACUCCCAGCCUCAGCUUGGAGACCCGAUGAAGUACCCAUUUCCUCCAGCAAGAGCCACAUAAGAGCUACAAACCUGCAGUGUAACACACAGGCCAAGAGCUCAGACGGCCUUUCUGGUGUUGAAUUGGUAUGGUAUGGUGCUCAAUUAAGGGCACACUCUUAGAGUCAAAUGCCCACUUGAAUCCCAAGUGCUAGGUGAGCAUGAGCAAGUUCUCGGCCUCUUUGAACUUCAGCUUCCUUCUGCACAGUGGUUAGUGACAGACUCGAGAACAGGGCACUCCCACAGCUGUGUCCUGAGUCCUGUGUCAUGGAUUUCCACACAGUAAGUGAAGCAAAGACAUCUGCAGCCGGGCAAUGUCAAGUGGGAUUCCUCCUCUGAUGUGAAUGCAAUGACAUUCAAAUUUCUCUUUUGUAAGAAGCCAGCUUUACAGAUUUGCUAAAACUCAAACUGCAAGGAAACAUUGCAUCUGCAAUGGUGGAGUUAUACUACUCAAUGGAAAAAGAGGGAUGAAGGGUCCUCCCAGCUCAAGGACGCCCACUCCCCAGUACCUCAGGCUAAUCGAGACUGUUCGGCUGGUGCUGAAGAAUUGGAUGGGGUUCUAAGAGACCAGUAUCACCGAGGGGGAACCUUUGGGUAGUGUUUUCCCGGGUCAGCACUCAGAAUGUGAGGUCCAGAGGGGGCCCUGACUGUUCCUGCAUUAGCAGCUGAGUAUGUAAUGUGAACAGAGUUUCCCAGGUAGUGCUGGCUUUAAAGGCAUGAAGGAGCCAUGGGGAGAAGGUAAGGCUUGGCUUCAGGUGGAAGGAUCAGAGCUCCUGAGAAGAACCCAGGAGAGGUGAUCAGUGAAGGUACAGCCCAGCUGCAAGAGAGACUCAGAAUCUGAGAUGCCAGUACCAUGGACCGGAUCACCAACGACAGCAGAUCGCGAAGAGGAGCCACAGCUGUGGAGUAGCAUCAGCUCGGGCCGUGCAGACAAGCUGUGUGCUGCAGAAGAUGGAGCUGGAGGUGACUCAGGCCCUUCGCAGCCCAGAGAACAGGGAGUGGGUCCAAGGUAUCAGAUGCUGUAGUUUUUAUCUAUUGGACUUUGGUCUUUCUUUGAUUUGGUUGUGACUGUGACCUGGUUCUUCAUUCUUGGAUUAAGAAGGUAUUUAAGUCUA